UACAGAGGGGGCAAGCGUUGUUCGGAAUUACUGGGCGUAAAGGGCGCGUAGGCGGCCUGUUAAGUCGAACGUGAAAUCCCCGGGCUCAACCCGGGAACUGCGUCCGAUACUGGCAGGCUCGAAUCCGGGAGAGGGAUGCGGAAUUCCAGGUGUAGCGGUGAAAUGCGUAGAUAUCUGGAGGAACACCGGUGGCGAAGGCGGCAUCCUGGACCAAUUCUGACGCUGAGGAGCGAAAGCCAGGGGAGCAAACGGG
rnacentral:rRNA from 1 species